CCCUUUAUGCCACAGUGUAGGGUUUCGAGCCAGAGCAACCACAAAAAUCCUAUAAUAUUAAACACUUCACUUCCAUCUGAACUAUAGCAGUCAGCUUACCUAGCUACUGAGUAGUAGUGACAGUCCUCUCUCUCUUUUUUUAUUUUUCUUGGAAUGUCGUGUGAAUUAUUGGUGGUUUUACUUCAACCUUGACAUGUUGACAUCCCCCUUGAUAUCUUGGCCUCUGCUUUUUCAAUAUUUCUCGGCUUUUGGUCCUCUCCUCUUCCGCUUUCCCGACUCACAAAACUUUCCCUUCUUGUUUUUAGAUUAUUUUCAUGGCCUUCAUGUAUCUGCAUUUCUGCUCUUUUUUGAACUCUUUGGUAUUCCCCUAAAGUGAGUGUUAGUAUUAACUCCUCCCCCUCCUCCUUGUCCUUGUAUCAGUGAAAAUUGUGAGAUUCAUAUCUUUGGAUUCUGCUGUGGGUGGUAGUGGCCUUUGGAAAUUGGAUCUAAAAGACUGGUGGUUUUUGUCAUGUCCAACAGUCUAUUUCUCUGCCGCAAACAUUGUCAAUCAUGUCUCUGCCUCUUUUUAUUUAAGAUUCACAACUACAUUCUCACCCCCAAGAAUUGAAAAAAUAAAAUUAUGGGAUUUAUUCUAAGAAUAUUGAUUUCACACUUCAAUAUUUUUUACUCAUCUUUAUGUUUUUUAUUUUGAUUUAAUAUAUUUUAAUAUUAAAAAAAAAAGGUCGGAAAAUCACUUGUUUGCAUGUCAUCAAAGCAAACCAAGUCUUACCGAUGCGGCAAAUAUCAUGAUUGGAAAAUUAGGCUAAUAGUUCUAUUACAAUGAAAAGAAUCAUUGUGAACCUAGGAAGUGCAUAUAGCUUGAUCCCGCAAAGGCGCAAACUUCAUCAUUAGCAAAUUGAAUUGGCUUUGUGGGGGGCGUAAGGCUCCCACUAGCCAAAUAAGUUCUACUUGAGGAAAAAAAGAGAAUGGAAUAAUUAGCAAAUGGCGUGGAGGUUGGCCUCUAUUUAAUCACAAUUCCAUUCGUUUCUGGACCAAGAUGCCAUGAUUACAGCCAAUUUUCUGCUAAGCAGAUUCAAUAUAUAAACGAUAUGACAAUUGACAACUUAGCACUUCAUAUGUCAAUCUCUUGAUAACAAUAGUUCUAAUGCGGGGAGUGCAGACUUUAACUUUACAUCUUCUUCACAUGUCUUUUCGUAUGUGGUAAUACUAUGAUUCUUGAACUUUAUAUGUAUGUUGAUCUAUUUUGAUAAUAUAAAGAAAGUUGAAUUUUAAAACUAAUUGGCUAGAAAGAGUAACUCAACUCUUGAAUUUUUUUUAAAUAAUUCGAUCUACUUAGUAGCACUAUAAAUAAACCGUCAUAAUUGAAUUGAAGAACUAAUAUUCUUGCUCACUCGACAAUCUAAUAAAUAAUAAGCGAGAAUAUCCAACUUACCCCAACUCCACGUACUACUUUAAAUUCACGUCCUCGCAAUUGUGCUCCCUCACAAAUCGGUGAAAUCAGAAUAUGAUUAGUGAGAAAUUUUGUUGACUAGUAUUACUAUCAGAAGGUGGUGGUGGUGAUAACCAAUGAAUUUGAAGCUGCAAGCGCUUAGGGAUGCUCGUGUCGUGGGAUGAUCAAUGAUAUGGAUAUUGGGGGUCUCACUUACUUAUACGAGUCCUUGUCAUCCACACAUAGACCACUCUCUUGUAAGUUGGUGGUGGGUUUUAAUGUUUCCAUAAAAAUCAUAUCCUUCCAUUGAGUCAUAUUCAUGUCCCAUCACACCACGCCAUAACGUUGAAUCUUAAAAGCAUAUCUUAAUCUUGUAUAGAUGUAGAGAAAGGCUAACGGUUUUUCUAAAUGACUGAAAACGUUUUUAGUAAAAAUAUUUUUAAAAUCAAAUCUUUAAAAUAAAUGCAAAUAAAUUCUAGAAAAGCAAUUAAAGUGUUUUCUGAAAGAACUACAUUACUAACGCUUCUUGCAAAAAACAUGUAAGUGCUUUUAAAACUCAAAAAUAUUUUCUAAAAAACGAUUUUAGUAAUCUUAAAAGCAUUUCAAACCAACUCUAAAAUUCUAUCAAAAUGUUUACAAAUUUAUUUCCAAGCAUCAAGAUUGCAUUUCAAUAAUCAUCAUCAAUAAACAACAAAAGAGUUAGUGAGGCUAUUUAUGAGGUGGGACGGAAGGUAGAACAAACCUUUCAUAUGAAUACAUUUUUCACCCAACAAAAAUUAGAACAAAACCAAAGAAAGAACUUUACAGCUGAUUAAGAAUAGCUGAAAAUAUUUUCUUGCGAGACUUAUAUAUAUUGUUACAUUACAAAUAAAAACUACAUAUUAAGAUAAAAAAUAACAUUUUACAUUGCUAAAUAGUAUACUAAAAAAACAUUAUUGAUAAGCUAUAGCAUCUACCAUUAACAUCACUAACACACAGAGUGCGCGACUAAACCUAGCACUAAUCUCGUAUAAAGGGGCUACUAAUGCUUCGUCAUGAGUCCAGAUUCUCGCCGAAUUCUUUUUGUGAGGAUCUCGAAGAUCCGUGAAUUGUGUUUGUUCAUCGUACAUCGUGCUGUUAAAAAUUAUUUUAAAUAUUUUCAUCUAAAAAUAAAUAUAAACAGUACUUGACAAAAACUAACCGUAUAAUGUACAAUUCACAGAUCUCUAGAUUUCUCAAUAAAAGGAUACAGAGAUGAUCCUGUUUCGUCCUUACCUUAUACAACAACUUCAAGUUUGAAGUGGAAGUUCAUGAAAAGGGAGUAAUCCGAAGCUACCUGUGAUAUUGUACUAAUGAAAUAGACCUAGCAAGCUAGCUAGGUUCUUUCACCCAAAUAUAGGGUAUCAGAUGAACACGUAGUAUAAUAUAUGAAUUUUAAUGAUGAAAAUGAGAUCCCGUAUGGAAAGAGAUCUUUUCUGGACUCUUUCCUCCUAAUCAAUCAAAUUAAAAAAUUCAGAUCAUUAAAAUUUGAUUCAACGAUUAUAAAUAAGAGUUCAUUUUAAAAGUUAUAAUAACUUUAACUGUUGGAUCAAAUUUCAAUGAUCCAGAUCUUCUGAUUUGAUGGCUUAGGAGGAAAGGAUCUAGAGAGAAUCCCAUUCCAUCCCGUAUGUCCUCGACAAUCCAACUCAUCUCUUUUAUAGCGCGUUUACGUAACCGUAAUAAAAAUAUGAGGUAUUAAAUUAACGAGGAAUUAAAUUGAGGAGAAGUUGAAAUGAGGAGAAAUCAAAAUCAAAUUAUUGUUGAAGAUGUUUACUUAAAUGUUAUGAAAUCAAACUAGAAAUAAUACUGAUUCCAUAAAACUAUUUACUAAUUCAACAAAAUCAAAAUAUAAACCAGUAUGAUUACUAAAAUACCCUUGUCCCAAAUCAAAUAUUUUAAUACUUUUUUUUAAUAAAUUUUGAUAUAAUAUAUAAUGGUAA
rnacentral:lncRNA from 1 species